AUCACUGAGUCAGCAAUGUUGACUCUCUGCUCACUGAUCUCAUUCUGCAUGUUAUGGGGUCAAAGUGUUGGAGACACCAUCACACCAGAGAAGGAUGCUGAACAAGCCGCUGAGGGCAGUAAAGUGAAGCUCUCCUGCAGAUACAGCAGCUCUCGAGUUUACAGUCUGUUAUGGUACCGCCAGUAUCCUGGAUCAGCUCCCCAGUUCCUCAUAAUGGAAAACUCAGGAGUCGUAAAUAAUCCCAUACCAGGACUGGGCAUCCAACACGUCAAAGAGCAGAGUCGAGUGGAUCUGGAGAUCUCCUCUGCUGCAGUGACACACUCUGCUCUGUACUACUGUGGUUACCUCAGCCAAUAG